CCUACGGGACGCACCAGUGGGGAAUAUUGCACAAUGGGCACAAGCCUGAUGCAGCCAUGCCGCGUGUAUGAAGAAGGCCUUCGGGUUGUAAAGUACUUUCAGCGGGGAGGAAGGUGUUGAGGUUAAUAACCUCAGCAAUUGACGUUACCCGCAGAAGAAGCACCGGCUAACUCCGUGCCAGCAGCUGCGGUAAUACGGAGGGUGCAAGCGUUAAUCGGAAUUACUGGGCGUAGAGCGCACGCAGGCGGUCUGUCAAGUCGGAUGUGAAAUCCCCGGGCUCAACCUGGGAACUGCAUUCGAAACUGGCAGGCUAGAGUCUUGUAGAGGGGGGUAGAAUCCCAGGUGUAGCGGUGAAAUGCGUAGAGAUCUGGAGGAAUACCGGUGGCGAAGGCGGCCCCCUGGACAAAGACUGACGCUCAGGUGCGAAAGCGUGGGGAGCAAACAGGAUUAGAUACCCUAGUAGUC
rnacentral:rRNA from 1 species